AGUCGAACGGCAGCACGGACUUCGGUCUGGUGGCGAGUGGCGAACGGGUGAGUAAUGUAUCGGAACGUGCCUAGUAGCGGGGGAUAACUACGCGAAAGCGUAGCUAAUACCACAUACACCCUUCGGGGGAAAGCGGGGGACCUUCGGGCCUCGCACUAUUAGAGCGGCCGAUAUCGGACAGCUAGUUGGUGGGGUAACGGCUCACCAAGGCGACGAUCCGUAGCUGGUUUGAGAGGACGACCAGCCACACUGGGACUGAGACUGGCCAGACUCCUACGGGAGGCAGCAGUGGGGAAUUUUGGACAAUGAGGAAACCUGAUUGGCCCAUCCCGCGUGUGCUAUGAAGGCCUUCGGGUUGUAAAGCACUUUUGGCAGGAAAGAAACGGCACGGGAUAAUACCCCGUGCAACUGACGGUACCUGCAGAAUAAGCACCGGCUAACUACGUGCCAGCAGCCGCGGUAAUACGUAGGGUGCAAGCGUUAAUCGGAAUUACUGGGCGUAAAGCGUGCGCAGGCGGUUCGGAAAGAAAGAUGUAGAAAUCCCAGAGCUUAACUUUGGAACUGCAUUUUUAACUACCGAGCUAGAGAGUGUGUCAGAGGGAGGUGGAAUUCCGCGUGUAGCAGUGAAAUGCGUAGAUAUGCGGAGGAACACCGAUAGCGAAGGCAGCCUCCUGGGAUAACACUGACGCUCAUGCAUGCGAAAGCGUGGGGAGCAAACAGGAUUAGAUACCUGGUAGUCCACGCCCUAAACGAUGUCAACUAGCUGUUGGGGCCUUCGGGCCUUGGUAGCGCAGCUAACGCGUGAAGUUGACCGCCUGGGAGUACGGUCGCAAGAUUAAAACUCAAAGGGAAUUGACGGGGACCCGCACAAGCGGUGGAUGAUGUGGAUUAAUUCGAUGCAACGCGAAAAACCUUACCUACCCUUGACAUGUCUGGAAUCCCGAAGAGAUUUGGGAGUGCUCGCAAGAGAACCGGAACACAGGUGCUGCAUGGCUGUCGUCAGCUCGUGUCGUGAGAUGUUGGGUAAGUCCCGCAACGAGCGCAACCCUUGUCAUUAGUUGCUACGAAAGGCACUCUAAUGAGACUGCCGGUGACAAACCGGAGGGGAAGGUGGGGAUGACGUCAAGUCCUCAUGGCCCUUAUGGGUAGGGCUUCACACGUCAUACAAUGGUCGGGACAGGAGGGUCGCCAACCCGCGAGAGGCCAAUCCCAGAAACCCGAUCGUAGUCCGGAUCGCAGUCUGCAACUCGACUGCGUGAAGUCGGAAUCGCUAGUAAUCGCGGAUCAGCAUGUCGCGGUGAAUACGUUCCCGGGUCUUGUACACACCGCCCGUCACACCAUGAAAUUGGGUUUACCAGAAGUAGUUAGCCUAACCGUAAGGAGGCGAUUACCACGGUAAGUUCAUGACUGGGGUGAAGUCGUAACAAGGUAG
rnacentral:rRNA from 1 species